rnacentral:rRNA from 1 species
CAGCGAAAGGUGCUUGCACCUUUCAAGUGAGUGGCGAACGGGUGAGUAACACGUGGACAACCUGCCUCAAGGCUGGGGAUAACAUUUGGAAACAGAUGCUAAUACCGAAUAAAACUUAGUGUCGCAUGACAAAAAGUUAAAAGGCGCUUCGGCGUCACCUAGAGAUGGAUCCGCGGUGCAUUAGUUAGUUGGUGGGGUAAAGGCCUACCAAGACAAUGAUGCAUAGCCGAGUUGAGAGACUGAUCGGCCACAUUGGGACUGAGACACGGCCCAAACUCCUACGGGAGGCUGCAGUAGGGAAUCUUCCACAAUGGGCGAAAGCCUGAUGGAGCAACGCCGCGUGUGUGAUGAAGGCUUUCGGGUCGUAAAGCACUGUUGUAUGGGAAGAACAGCUAGAAUAGGAAAUGAUUUUAGUUUGACGGUACCAUACCAGAAAGGGACGGCUAAAUACGUGCCAGCAGCCGCGGUAAUACGUAUGUCCCGAGCGUUAUCCGGAUUUAUUGGGCGUAAAGCGAGCGCAGACGGUUUAUUAAGUCUGAUGUGAAAGCCCGGAGCUCAACUCCGGAAUGGCAUUGGAAACUGGUUAACUUGAGUGCAGUAGAGGUAAGUGGAACUCCAUGUGUAGCGGUGGAAUGCGUAGAUAUAUGGAAGAACACCAGUGGCGAA